GACGAACGCGGCGGCGUGCCUAAUACAUGCAAGUCGAACGAGAGCGACCGGUGCUUGCACUGGUCAAUCUAGUGGCGAACGGGUGAGUAACACGUGGGUAACCUGCCCAUCAGAGGGGGAUAACAUCCGGAAACGGAUGCUAAAACCGCAUAGGUCUUCGAGCCGCAUGGCUUGAAGAGGAAAAGAGGCGCAAGCUUCUGCUGAUGGAUGGACCCGCGGUGCAUUAGCUAGUUGGUGAGGUAACGGCUCACCAAGGCCGUGAUGCAUAGCCGACCUGAGAGGGUGAUCGGCCACAUUGGGACUGAGACACGGCCCAAACUCCUACGGGAGGCAGCAGUAGGGAAUCUUCCGCAAUGGACGCAAGUCUGACGGAGCAACGCCGCGUGAGUGAAGAAGGUUUUCGGAUCGUAAAAACUUCUGUUUGUAGAGAAAGAAACCAAGUGCUAAG
rnacentral:rRNA from 1 species